GAUUGCGCCGGGUUAAACUAAAGACAGACUAAGCAUGUAGAACCGGAUGGCAGAGGGCUUGCGGACGCGGGUUCGAUUCCCGCCGCCUCCACCA
rnacentral:tmRNA from 1 species